GACGACGACUCCUACGGGAGGCAGCAGUGGGGAAUAUUGCACAAUGGGGGAAACCCUGAUGCAGCCAUGCCGCGUGUGUGAAGAAGGCCUUCGGGUUGUAAAGCACUUUCAGUAGGGAGGAAGGUAGUGUAGUUAAUACCUGCAUUAUUUGACGUUACCUACAGAAGAAGCACCGGCUAACUCCGUGCCAGCAGCCGCGGUAAUACGGAGGGUGCGAGCGUUAAUCGGAAUUACUGGGCGUAAAGCGCAUGCAGGCGGCCUGUUAAGUCAGAUGUGAAAGCCCCGGGGCUUAACCUCGGAAUUGCAUUUGAAACUGGCAGGCUAGAGUCUUGUAGAGGGGGUAGAAUUUCAGGUGUAGCGGUGAAAUGCGUAGAGAUCUGAAGGAAUACCAGUGGCGAAGGCGGCCCCCUGGACAAAGACUGACGCUCAGAUGCGAAAGCGUGGGGAGCAAACAGGAUUAGAUACCCUUGUAG
rnacentral:rRNA from 1 species